rnacentral:rRNA from 1 species
GCCAGACUCCUACGGGAGGCAGCAGUGGGGGAUAUUGCACAAUGGGGGAAACCCUGAUCCAGCGACGCCGCGUGAGUGAAGAAGUAUUUCGGUAUGUAAAGCUCUGUCAGCAGGGAAGAAAGAAAUGACGGUACCUGACCAAGAAGCCCCGGUUAACUACGUGCCAGCAGCCGCGGUAAUACGUAGGGGGCAAGCGUUAUCCGGAUUUACUGGGUGUAAAGGGGGCGCAGACGGCCAUGGCAAGCCCGGUGUGAAAGGCAGGGGCAUAACCCCUGGACUGCACUGGGAACUGUCAGGCUGGAGUGCCGGAGGGGUAAGCGGAAUUCCUGGUGUAGCGGUGAAAUGCGUAGAUAUCAGGAGGAACACCGGCGGCGAAGGCGGCUUACUGGACGGCAACUGACGUUGAGGCCCGAAAGCGUGGGGAGCGAACGGGAUUAGAUACCCCGGUA